CAGCAGCCGCGGUAAUACGUAGGUGGCAAGCGUUGUCCGGAUUUAUUGGGCGUAAAGCGAGCGCAGGCGGUCAAUUGAGUCUGAUGUGAAAGCCCCCGGCUCAACCGGGGAGGGUCAUUGGAAACUGGUUGACUUGAGUGCAGAAGAGGAGAGUGGAAUUCCAUGUGUAGCGGUGAAAUGCGUAGAUAUAUGGAGGAACACCAGUGGCGAAGGCGACUCUCUGGUCUGUAACUGACGCUGAGGCUCGAAAGCGUGGGUAGCAAACAGGAUUAGAUACCCCUGUAGUCCCUGUCUCUUAUAA
rnacentral:rRNA from 1 species